AUGCCUGUGACCAUCAGCUCCAUCCUCUGAACGGGGACCAGGACUAAUGAUUCCCUAAAAGCCUUUCAGCCUCUUGACUUGAAUUGGAGAUGCACCAUAAGUAGCUGUUCUCUUGUGACUUUCAGCUUCUUUGACUGAGUGGGACUGGGUUUCCAGAGAGCUCUCCAGCCUGCAGACAGCCAUCACUGAACGAUUCAGCCUCUUAUCAUUUCCUGCAGGCUGCACAUCUGGAGGAUUCCACUGUCAAGAAUUGGGUCAUAUGUCUAAAUUCAUUUCCACUAUAGGCUACCAAAACAAGGUGUCAGGUGACCACAUUGCUACAAGAUUGACACAGCUGUUCAUUCAGUGCUGUGUAAGCACUAAGUAAGUACAACAGUUCAUAUUAUGUAUGUGAUUGACACGGACAAGAUCUUCAUGGCUUCCAUUUACUCUCCAAAUUCUAUAUGCAUACUGAAAUUGGCUAACUUAUCAUCAGCUUCUAUGAAUAAUCUCAAUAGUCUUUACUUUGAGGAGUAUAACAACACAUGCAUUAUGUUCUUGGGUUUCUAUGCCUCUAAGCAAGCACUGAGCAUUUUUGAAGUUCUUAUUAAUGUUUAAUCUUACUUGAAAUUUUAAAGACUUGUUAUGAGUUUAACUAGCUGUGCACCAUUUUUAGAAAACUACUAAAAGUUAAUAGUCAAUUCUAUUUAAUGUAUGUUCAUCAAUAUUUAUUAAGCAUCAUCACUGUGUUGGGUCAGUACUAAAGGUAUUAAGGAUAAAACCAAAUAGUUUAUUCUCUGAUACAAACAUA